GUCAGGAUGGCCGAGCGGUCCAAGCGCGCGCAUGCUCAGGUCGCAGUCUCCACUGGAGGCGAGGGUUCGAAUCCCACUUCUGACA
rnacentral:tRNA from 1 species